AUGGAUGAUGGAUGGAUGAUGGAUGGACGGACACAGGGAUGGACGGAUGGAUGGAUGGAUAGAGGGAUGGAUGGAUGGAUGGACAGACACAGGGAUGGAUGGAUGAUGGAUGGAGGGAGGGAUGGAGGGAGGGAGGGAUGGAUGGAUGAUGGAUGGAGAGAGGGAGGGAUGGAUGGAGGGAGACAUGGAGGGAGGGAGGGAUGGAUGGAUGGAUGGACACAGGGAUGGAUGGAUGGAUGGAUGGAUGGACCCAAGGAUUGGUGGGGAUGGGGCCAAAUCCAGCUGGGACCAGGCAUCAGUGAUGUCCCCGAGGAUCAGGAUUGGAUCCAGUCCUGUGUAGUAUCUUCAUCAAUGAUUUGGGCGAGGGGAUCAAGGGCACCUUCUGUGAAUUUACAGAUGGCACUGUGGUGGGAGGGACAUGGAUUGUCUGGAGAAGGGUCUGGAGCCGCAGGAGAGGCUGAGGGAGCUGGGAAAGGGCUCAGCCUGGAGCAAAGGGGGAUCAGGGGGGACCUUGUGGCUCUGCACAAGUCCCUGACAGGAGGGGGCAGCCGGGGGGGUCGGGCUCUGCUCGCAGGGAACAGGGACAGGAGGAGAGGGAACAGCCUCAGGCUGGGCCAGGGGAGGCUCAGGGUGGACAGCAGCAGGAAUUUCCCCAUGGAAAGGGUGCUCAGGCCUUGGAAUUGCCCAGGAAGGUUUGGAGUGCCCAUCCCUGGAGGUGUCCCAGGAACUCCUGGAGGUGGCACUCAGGGCUCUGGGCUGGGGACAAGGUUGGACUUGAUGAUCCUGAGGGCUUUUCCACACUCAAGGAUUCUGAGAUUCUGUAAUCCUUGGGGAUUUCAGGUUAAAAUCAGCCCGUUUUCAUCCUUGUGGGGGAAUUCCAGCCAGUUUCCCAAGGAUCAGUGCUUUGGGGAAAUAAACGGGAAGGAAGGAACCCUGAGAUGGGAGGUAACAACUCUCAACUUGCCCCUUCCAGGUGAUCCGAGGGAACAGCAUCAUCAUGCUGGAAGCUUUGGAACGAGUAUAAAACCCUGGAGAACCUCAAAUCCCAACCCACCAGUUCCGUUCCCUCGUCCAAGACGCCGCCCACAAGUGUACAAUUAUUUUGUUGUUAAUUAA
rnacentral:lncRNA from 13 species